rnacentral:rRNA from 1 species
UACGUAGGGUGCAAGCGUUGUCCGGAAUUAUUGGGCGUAAAGAGCUCGUAGGCGGUCUGUUGCGUCGGCUGUGAAAACCCGGGGCUCAACCCCGGGCCUGCAGCCGAUACGGGCAGACUAGAGUUCGGCAGGGGAGACUGGAAUUCCGUGGUGUAGCGGUGAAAUGCGCAGAUAUCAGGAGGAACACCGGUGGCGAAGGCGGGUCUCUGGGCCGAUACUGACGCUGAGGAGCGAAAGCGUGGGGAGCGAACAGG